rfam:Scleropages formosus scaffold14569, whole genome shotgun sequence.
UUUUAAAUAAAUAUAAUAAAAUAUGUACAUAAAAUAUAUGUACCUACAGGUGGUCCCCGACUUACGAUGGAUUUCGCGGAAUGUACCCCCAUCGUAAGUCGGGGACCACCUGUAUGUACAUAUUUUAUUAUAUUUAUAAAAAAUACUUAUU